UACGUAGGUGGCAAGCGUUGUCCGGAAUUAUUGGGCGUAAAGCGCGCGCAGGCGGUCCUUUAAGUCUGAUGUGAAAGCCCACGGCUCAACCGUGGAGGGUCAUUGGAAACUGGGGGACUUGAGUGCAGAAGAGGAGAGUGGAAUUCCACGUGUAGCGGUGAAAUGCGUAGAGAUCAUGAGGAAGACAGUGCGGAAGGCGGGUCUCUGGACAGUUCCUGACACUGAGACACGAAGGCCAGGGGAGCAAACGGG
rnacentral:rRNA from 1 species